GACGAACGCUGGCGGCGUGCUUAACACAUGCAAGUCGAACGGAAAGGCCCUGCUUUUGUGGGGUGCUCGAGUGGCGAACGGGUGAGUAACACGUGAGUAACCUGCCCUUGACUUUGGGAUAACUUCAGGAAACUGGGGCUAAUACCGGAUAGGAGCUCCUGCUGCAUGGUGGGGGUUGGAAAGUUUCGGCGGUUGGGGAUGGACUCGCGGCUUAUCAGCUUGUUGGUGGGGUAGUGGCUUACCAAGGCUUUGACGGGUAGCCGGCCUGAGAGGGUGACCGGCCAAAUUGGGACUGAGAUAAGGCCCAGACUCCUACGGGAGGCAGCAGUGGGGAAUAUUGCACAAUGGGCGGAAGCAUGAUGCAGCAAAGCCGCGUGCGGGAUGACGGCCUUCGGGUUGUAAACCGCUUUCGCCUGUGACGAAGCGUGAGUGACGGUAAUGGGUAAAGAAGCACCGGCUAACUACGUG
rnacentral:rRNA from 1 species